rnacentral:rRNA from 1 species
UACAGAGGGUGCGAGCGUUGUCCGGAAUCACUGGGCGUAAAGGGCGCGUAGGUGGUGGCUUAAGCGUGCGGUGAAAGCUCGGGGCUCAACUCCGAGUCGGCCGUGCGAACUGGGCUCACUGGAGCAUAGUAGAGGCAGGUGGAAUUCCGGGUGUAGCGGUGGAAUGCGUAGAGAUCCGGAAGAACACCGGUGGCGAAGGCGGCCUGCUGGGCUAUGGCUGAUACUGAGGCGCGACAGCGUGGGGAGCAAACAGG